rnacentral:rRNA from 1 species
GGUUGAUCCUGCCAGUAGUCAUAUGCUUGUCUCAAAGAUUAAGCCAUGCACGUCUAAGUAUAAACGAGAUUAUACAGUGAGACUGCGGAUGGCUCAUUAAAUCAGUUAUAGUUUGUUUGAUGGUUUUUUCACCUAUUUGGAUAACCGUGGUAAUCCUAGAGCUAAUACAUGCGUGCAAACCUGACUAAGAAAGAAGUGCCUUUAAUCAUGAGGUGCUUUGAUUUUGGAAAGGAUGGAUUUAUUAGAUACCAAAAACCACUAUGUUUUUGGUAACAAAAACACUUUUUUCGGU